AACUUGAAGUUGGAACUUCCCAUCAGAUCUGAAUGCUGAUCUUCCUGGUCAUAGAAGGAGGAAAAAAAAAACACUGAAGCUGGCUUCCCAGUGCUUAUAAUCUGGUACAUAGCUUUUGGGCUAGUUUCAAACAAGG